rnacentral:rRNA from 1 species
GAUGAACGCUGGCGGCGUGCCUAAUACAUGCAAGUCGAGCGAACAGACGAGGAGCUUGCUCCUCUGACGUUAGCGGCGGACGGGUGAGUAACACGUGGAUAACCUACCUAUCAGACUGGGAUAACUUCGGGAAACCGGAGCUAAUACCGGAUAAUAUAUUGAACCGCAUGGUUCAAUAGUGAAAGACGGUUUUGCUGUCACUUAUAGAUGGAUCCGCGCCGCAUUAGCUAGUUGGUAAGGUAACGGCUUACCAAGGCAACGAGGCGUAGCCGACCUGAGAGAGUGAUAGACGACCCUGGAAGUGGACCACGGUCCAGGCUCCUACGGGAGGCCGCAGUAGGGAAUCUUCGGCAGUGGGGGAGAGCAUGACGGAGCAACGGGGCGUGAGUGAUGGAGGUCUUCGGAUCGGAAAGCUCUGUUAUUAGGGAAGAACAAAUGUGUAAGUAGCUGUGCACGUAUUGACGGUACCUGAUCAGAAAGCCACGGCUAACUACGUG